GACGAACGCUGGCGGCGUGCCUAAUACAUGCAAGUAGAACGCACAGUUUAUACCGUAGCUUGCUACACCAUAAACUGUGAGUUGCGAACGGGUGAGUAACGCGUAGGUAACCUGCCUGGUAGCGGGGGAUAACUAUUGGAAACGAUAGCUAAUACCGCAUAAUAUUGAUUAUUGCAUGAUAAUUGAUUGAAAGAUGCUAUUGCAUCACUACCAGAUGGACCUGCGUUGUAUUAGCUAGUAGGUGAGGUAACGGCUCACCUAGGCGACGAUACAUAGCCGACCUGGGAGGGUGAUCGGCCACACUGGGAAUGAGACACGGCCCAGACUCCUACGGGAGGCAGCAGUAGGGAAUCUUCGGCAAUGGACGAAAGUCUGACCGAGCAACGCCGCGUGAGUGAAGAAGGUUUUCGGAUCGUAAAGCUCUGUUGUAAGAGAAGAACGGGUGUGAGAGUGGAAAGUUCACACUGUGACGGUAUCUUACCAGAAAGGGACGGCUAACUACGUG
rnacentral:rRNA from 1 species